rnacentral:tRNA from 1 species
AAUAUAGUGCCUGAUUAAAGGAUUAUUUUGAUAGAAUAAAUUAAGUGAUUAUUUACCUAUAUUU